GUGCUCACUUUGGCAGCACAUAUACUAAAAUUGGAACAAUACAGAAAAGAUUAGCAUGACCCCU
rnacentral:snRNA from 1 species